CUUAGCAUGUUAUUUGUACCGCUCUAUAUAAGCGGCUGGGUGCAGUUAUUACACGGCUUGGCUGCUAGAAACCACAACGGUGUGUGGCCUCGUCCACGCCGCGCCUUGGCUGAAUAUUGCUCUCCAGAGGACUCUGAACAGUCACUCGGUGACAAGUGGUGCCCAAACGGGGACUUUGGAGUAAGAACGAUCAGAAAAGGACCUUGGAGUAAGAGGGAGACGAGGCAGCGGUCGCAGAUGGAUGGCACCGGACAAGCAACAGUGCUAAUGGCGUGAUAUAGGAGAUCAUACGUGGGACUGUGUGAUAUCUGGGGGGAAGGACGAGGAGUUGCUGAAGCCUCUGGGACCGGUGUGGCGUGCUGCUGCCAACACCUUGAAGGCCAUACGAGCCCCCGCUGUACGGCCACCCGCAGCCUCCCCUGGCCCGAGCCCGGACCGCGCCACAGCCGCCUCCACCCGGUGCUCUCCAUGGCAGUGCAGGGCUUCCAGGGCUACACUGAGAAGCACUGCCCUACACCGUGAUGCCCAUCGAGCUGCAGAAGCUGGCGUGGGGCAGCCUGUUGGGGGGGGGGGGGGGCCUCAGCAGACCCCGCUGUGCCUCAUCGAUGCCAACAGCUCUCUGCCCCGGCUCUACAGCGGCUUCUACACAGUCUGGGAUGCUCCACUGAACUGAUUGCUGGAUGAAAUGUCUCGCUGCCUUGGGAUCCCCAGGAACCGUAACUUAUGGGGUCGCAGGCGAUAGGGAACACGUCACAGAAUUGGACCCAGACCUGCUUUGUAUUCAGUAAUACCCAGCAGGGCCUAAAUCCUUAUAAAGGGCUGAAUUGGACCUCUUGCACUACUGUAUCUAGCCGUGGCAAAUUUACUUACGGGAUGCUUGUGAUUACUGUGGCACCAAUACAUCAAGAAGACAGGUUUGGCUGCCUAUGGCGCAGCUGCAAAUGGUAACAACUCGACUAUAUGGUGCAAUGGCUCUGCGAAGGCAUUGCCUCCGGACAUCUUUUUGGUCUGUGGAGACAGAGCGUGGCAGGGCAUCCCCAGCCAGGAGACAGGUGGACC
ensembl:lncRNA